GCCUGGGAGGCCACUGCCAACAUUUGCUGGACAGCCCAGAUCUGGACCCUACUGGACGCCUGGUGUGACAUUUCAUGUGCUACUUGGCUUUCAGGAUGUACUCUUCCGGAGACAGUCGCAGGUCCAAAGCCAUCACCAGUGUGUAUCAUCUCCAGAAAUGUGUGAGUGACUUCCUCCGUCACACCACGCCGGGUACUGACUGUCACAAUUUAUUUAAACUUUUGUGGGUUUCUUAGGUUUAAAAAAGGUGUUUAGUGGUGCUGGCAGACCCAUAGACCAAGUUUUCAGGAUAGCAGCCAGCGAAACCUGCCCCACUCAGCGCCCGCGUUCCAUCUCCAGGGGCCUCCCACACCUGCUCCUGCUCCGAGAAAGGCAGGACCCGAACCGGAAGAGAGCAAGUCCCGCUCUGCGCAUCCACCAUCAGCUGAAGAAGUAAAACGCUGGACAUAAAAUCCAGGUCUCUGUGCUCUCCAAGAUUGUCUCGUUAUCUUGCCCAAAGAUAAUCGUCCUCAACUUGGUAUUUAUUAUUCCAGUGAAUGUUAUCUGAUUUUUAACAGUAAGGAGUAGUCUUUUGAAUGUUUCAGGCUUCACAUACAAGAUAAUCACACUGUACUAUUUCACAGCUUUGCUGGCAGUGUUAGGGUUGAGGUCUUCAUCUGUGUGGAAUUUAUUUACUUAUUUAUUUAGGCCCUGGGGAUUGAACUCAGAGCCUUCUCAUUGCUCUACAUCUCCAGUUCUUUUUAAAAAAUUUUAAAUUUUGAGACAGGAUCUCCCUAAGUCACUAAAUUGCUUAGGCUGGGCUUGAACUUGUGACCCUCCUGCCUCCAGUCUCUCAGAGUGCUGGGAUUACAGACAUAUGCCAUCCUGCCUGGCAAAGGGUUAUUCUUAUUUUUAUCUUUUAUUUUGAAUAGUAAGCCUUUGUUAGUUAUAUGCUUUGCAAAUAUCUUUACUAGUGUUGUCUUUUAGCAUAAUUCAUGAUACGUUAUGUGCAGAAAUUUUCAAUUUUGAAGUAGUUAAAUGUAAAUUUUUAUGUUUUGUUUUAAAAACCUCCCUUUCUGUGUUGUUUAGAUAUUCUUUCUUUUACUCACAAUCUUAAAGAUAGUCUCUUAUAUUGUCCUCUAAUUUGUCUUAAAGCUUUGAAUUUCUAUUUAGAUAUUUGAUGAAUCUGAAAUGGAUUUUUGCAUGUGUUGUGAGAUGGGGUGUUGUAUGAUAUGGUAUGCAACCAUCUGAUGAGGUACUAUAUGAUACGAGUUAUUCCAGCACAUUUACUGACUAGUUGAUAUUUACCCCACUGAUCUGAAAUACCAGAUCUGUCAUAUAUUUAUUAUGUUCCCACAUAUCAGUGGGUCUGUACCUAGAAUUACUCCUUUUUUCUUCAAAUCAAAUUACUUAUAUAUUUACCAAACUGUGUGGCUUUACUAUUAUUUUACAAUAAAUUUUUACAUCUAAUGAAGUAUGUCUCCCUGCCUUGCUCUGCUUCAUAAAUGCCUUGAUUAUUUUUAACUCCUAUGUAAAAUCUGCAAGCAAGCCGUUAAGUUUCACAAAACUACCGUUGGCAUUUUUAUUGGAAUUCCAUUGAAUUAAUUAACUUGAGAAUUUGGAAAUGUUUAAAACAUCUACUUUUCUCAUCUAUUGACUGAGAUUUUCUUUAAUGUCUUUCAGUAAAGCUUUAUAAUUUUUUCCAAAUAGGUUUUUGCACAAAAAAUUUUUAGGUGUAUUCAUAACUAUCUUGCAGUCUGGGUGCUAUAGUAGAUGUAUUUUUAUGUUUUCUAAUUUUUCAGCAAUGGUGGGUGACAGGGACCACAAACUGUGGCCCGUGGGUCUGAUCUAGCUUGCUACCUAUUUUUGUAAGUAAGCUGUUACUAAAACACAGUUAUGCCCAUUUCUUUACAUGUUAUGUAUGGCUGGUUUUACACUACAGUGGCAAAGUUGAACAGUUAAGGUAGAGACCAUAAGGCCUGCAAAGUUUAAAAUCUUUACUACCUGGCUCUUACAGAAAAGAAUUUGUUGACCCUAGUGUACAGGAAUAUCAUUGGCUUUAUACAUAUAUUCAAAUAACCCAGUCGAAUUCUCUUAGUGCUAAUGGUCUCUUAGUCUGUCGUGUAUACUGUCAUAUUUUCUAUGAUUAAUGAUAGUUUUGUUUUCCCUUCCAGAUUAUGUUAGCUUGCUCCUUAUGAGCAAUGUUUAGUGGAAAUAGUGAUAACUGACCACCUAUCUUUCUUCCUGACUUUAAAGAAAAUGCUUCUAACAUUUUACCACCGUUAAGUAUCAGAGUUUCUUCCAAUUUUUGGUAAAUACCAUAUAUGCUGUUAAGGAAAUUCUUUUCAAUUUCCUGUUUUUAGUUUUAAGGGUUGUUUUAUAGUCAUCAGUGGGUGCUGUGUUUAUCGAAUAUUUUCCCCCAAACCUAUUCUCCACCUAUUAUCAUGGGUUUUCUUUUGAUUCUUUGACUACUGUGUAUUACAGCAUAAAAAAACAUUAGAACAAUAAAAUCUACUGUGUUUUUCAUCCUGUUUUCUGAUUUCCUUUUUCUUUCAUUCUUCCACAGUGAGACCUCGGUUUCACUCAGCCCUAUGAAGUCACCCAGUUAAAAGCAGUAUCCCAUUGUCCGCUGCCUUCUCCCAGAGUCACUUCCUGGAGUCACCAAGCGCUAGAGUGCUACGAGGGGCACUUAGCCAACAGUUAAUGUAAGCCGAGGCCUUAGGGUUUGAGAGAUUAGGGCUCUACAGCCUACCACAGUGGUCUAAGAGUUUGGUUCCUCGGGUAAAACACUUUGCACUUAGAGCUCCG
rnacentral:lncRNA from 1 species